rnacentral:rRNA from 1 species
AUUGAACGCUGGCGGCAGGCCUAACACAUGCAAGUCGAACGAGUGGCGGACGGCUGAGAAAUGUCUGGGACACUGCCUGAUGGAGGGGGAUACCUACUGGAAACGGUAGCUAAUACCGCAUACCAUCGGAUGUGCCCAGGUGGGGUUAGCUAGUAGGUGGGGUAACGGCUCACCUGGGCGACGAUGCCUAGCUGGUCUGAGAGGAUGGCCAGCCACACGGUGACGGAGACACGGUCCAGACUCCUACGGGAGGCAGCAGUGGGGAAUAUUGCACAAGGGGCGCAAGCCUGAUGCAGCCAUGCCGCGUGGAUGAAGAAGGCCUUCGGGUUGUAAAGUACUUUCAGCGGGGAGGCGUUACCCGCAGAAGAAGCACCGGCUAACUCCGUGCCAGCAGCCGCGGUAAUAC